UUUGUACACUUCCGGUGGGCGGUCCUUAUAAGGCCCUAAGUUCCCGGCAUUUGUAAUUAAUUUAGCAGCUCACGGAGAACGCGGAGAAGAAAAGCAGAGCCACCAGGUCCACCGUCCUCUCUGCCUCCUCUGAACAUCCUGCUGUUUCUUUCCACAACAGGAGGAUGUGAUGCCAGGAUGUGAUGGCUGCGGUCAGGUCACUGCUGCGGCUGUAGUAACUGUGAUCCUCCAGCAUCAAACCCACCUUCUCACAGUGUCGUUUCUGCUGCAGUACCAGGAAACUACGACGCCUGGGGAAACCAGCCGUACUUCUCCACUUCUCCACUGCUCCACUUCUCCGUUCACGGGGGGAGGAUGAAGCACCAGAGGAGAGAAUCUGUUUCACAGCAGUUCCCUGGGCUCAAAGAUAGAUGGAGGGGAUUUGCAUAGGGUGGGGCGAGAGUGAGUGUAAGAGAUAUGAGAGGGAACAGGAGGACGAGGCAGAGAGAGAUGUUACUGCUACGGUGCAGUGAAGGGAGGAGGAGGAGGAGGAGG